UGUAGAGCCAUGGAUAGUGCAUAGGACUUCUAAUCCAAAGGUCGUGGGUUCGAAUCCCACUGAAA